AACAAGUACCGUGAGGGAAAGUUGAAAAGAACUCUGAAUAGAGAGUUAAACAGUACGUGAAACUGCUUAGAGGUUAAGCCCGAUGAACCUGAAUAUCCGUUAUGGAAAAUUCAUCAUUAAAGUUGUAAUAUUUUAACAAUAUUAUAAUAAUAGUGUGCAUUUUUUCCAUAUAAGGACAUUGUAAUCUAUUAGCAUAUAACAAAUUUAUCAUAAAAUAUGACUUAUAGUUUAUUCAAAUUAUUAUGCUUGCAUUUUAACAUAGAAUAAAUGUCAUUAAUUUGAUAAAGUGUUGAUAAAUUAAAAUUAAUACAGUGCGUUAAUUUUUCGAAAUUAUAUAAUGGCAUAAUUAUCAUUGAUUUUUGUGUUUAUUAUAUGCAUUUGUAUGAUUAACAAUGCGAAAGAUUCAGGAUACCUUCGGGACCCGUCUUGAAACACGGACCAAGGAGUCUAACAUAUGUGCAAGUUAUUGGGAGAUAAACCUAAUAGCGUAAUUAACUUGACUAAUAAUGGGAUUAGUUUUUUAACUAUUUAUAGAUAAUUAACACAAUCCCGGGGCGUUCUAUAUAGUUAUGUAUGAUAAUAUUUAUAUUAUUUAUGCCUCUAACUGGAACGUACCUUGAGCAUAUAUGCUGUGACCCGAAAGAUGGUGAACUAUACUUGAUCAGGUUGAAGUCAGGGGAAACCCUGAUGGAAGACCGAAACAGUUCUGACGUGCAAAUCGAUUGUCAGAAUUGAGUAUAGGGGCGAAAGACCAAUCGAACCAUCUAGUAGCUGGUUCCUUCCGAAGUUUCCCUCAGGAUAGCUGGUGCAUUUUAAUGUUAUAUAAAAUAAUCUUAUCUGGUAAAGCGAAUGAUUAGAGGCCUUAGGGUCGAAACGAUCUUAACCUAUUCUCAAACUUUAAAUGGGUAAGAACCUUAACUUUCUUGAUAUGAAGUUUAAGGUUAUGAUAUAAUGUGCCCAGUGGGCCACUUUUGGUAAGCAGAACUGGCGCUGUGGGAUGAACCAAACGUAAUGUUACGGUGCCCAAAUUAACAACUCAUGCAGAAACCAUGAAAGGCGUUGGUUGCUUAAAACAGCAGGACGGUGAUCAUGGAAGUCGAAAUCCGCUAAGGAGUGUGUAACAACUCACCUGCCGAAGCAACUAGCCCUUAAAAUGGAUGGCGCUUAAGUUGUAUACCUAUACAUUACCGCUAAAGUAGAUGAUUUAUAUUACUUGUGAUAUAAAUUUUGAAACUUUAGUGAGUAGGAAGGUACAAUGGUAUGCGUAGAAGUGUUUGGCGUAAGCCUUCAUGGAGCUGCCAUUGGCACAGAUCUUGGUGGUAGUAGCAAAUAAUCGAAUGAGACCUUGGAGGACUGAAGUGGAGAAGGGUUUCAGUAUCACGAGUUAGUCGGUCCUAAGUUCAAGGCGAAAGCCGAAAAUUUUCAAGUAAAAAAUCAGUGAGUAAUAUUGUCAAAUCUUUUAUGAUUUUUAAAUACUUGAAUAAUUUUGAACGAAAGGGAAUACGGUUCCAAUUCCGUAACCUGUUGAGUAUCCGUUUGUUAUUAAAUAUGGGCCUCGUGCUCAUCCUGGCAACAGGAACGACCAUAAAGAAGCCGUCGAGAGAUAUCGGAAGAGUUUUCUUUUCUGUUUUAUAGCCGUACUACCAUGGAAGUCUUUCGCAGAGAGAUAUGGUAGAUGGGCUAGAAGAGCAUGACAUAUACUGUUGUGUCGAUAUUUUCUCCUCGGACCUUGAAAAUUUAUGGUGGGGACACGCAAACUUCUCAACAGGCCGUACCAAUAUCCGCAGCUGGUCUCCAAGGUGAAGAGUCUCUAGUCGAUAGAAUAAUGUAGGUAAGGGAAGUCGGCAAAUUAGAUCCGUAACUUCGGGAUAAGGAUUGGCUCUGAAGAUUGAGAUAGUCGGGCUUGAUUGGGAAACAAUAACAUGGUUUAUGUGCUCGUUCUGGGUAAAUAGAGUUUCUAUCAUUUAUGGUAGUUACUUGUUCCCCGGAUAGUUUAGUUACGUAGCCAAUUGUGGAACUUUCUUGCUAAAAUUUUUAAGAAUACUAAUUGGGUUAAACCAGUUAGUUCUUAUUAAUUAUAACGAUUAUCAAUUAACAAUCAAUUCAGAACUGGCACGGACUUGGGGAAUCCGACUGUCUAAUUAAAACAAAGCAUUGUGAUGGCCCUAGCGGGUGUUGACACAAUGUGAUUUCUGCCCAGUGCUCUGAAUGUCAAAGUGAAGAAAUUCAAGUAAGCGCGGGUCAACGGCGGAGUAACUAUGACUCUCUGGAAGAUAUGGGUCUGAAUAAUAGCGUAGAAGGGGAGUCAUUCCGUAAUUCGUAAAUCGUAAAAAUCAGAUCAAGUUGAUUCAAGACCUCCUCGUGGUAUCUUCUGGAUGCUAUUAGACUGAAGUUCUUUUGGUCUAAUAGUAACUAACUUGAACAGCGAAACAGUCCUAUGGGGUUGCCAGCCCCUUGGACAGUUCAGUUUGAUUGGCACUAAUAUGCAAAAUACAACGCCUCGGAUAAUAAACACUAAUUCGUUGACGAACCAAAUCCCUACGGUCUCUAGCCUAGGGGCCCAAUCUGAACAUAGUGCACAGGUUAACCCAAACAGUGGUUACCAAUGCACGAUAUGUGAAUCGUCUUUCCGUAGCAAAAGCGGACUAGGCGUUCACAUGUCACGUCGGCACAAGGACGAGUUUGAUCAACUUCGUCUGCGUACCGACCGUAAGGCACAAUGGAGUGAGGAAGAGUUGAGUAUGAUGGCAAGAAAAGAGAUCGAGCUCGCAGCAAAUGGAGAAAGAUAUCUAAAUAAGAAGCUAGCGGAAGUAUUUACGAACCGUAGCGUCGACGCUAUCAAGAAAUGUCGACAGAGGGAGAGAUAUAAGACCAAAAUCGAACAGCUAAAGGGUCAAGCUGUUCCUCUCCCAGAAGCAUUAGAAUCUGAAAC
rnacentral:rRNA from 1 species